UCCAAUGUGGUGUAGUGGCUAACAUUGCUGUCUUUCAUACAUCCUUUGUGUGGUUAUGCAAACACAGCAGCCCGGGGUUCGAUUCCCCGCAUUGGAA
rfam:Moniliophthora roreri strain MCA 2952 kmer90.96949, whole genome shotgun sequence.